AGUGAACGCUGGCGGUAGGCCUAACACAUGCAAGUCGAACGGCAGCACAGUAAGAGCUUGCUCUUACGGGUGGCGAGUGGCGGACGGGUGAGGAAUACAUCGGAAUCUACUUUUUCGUGGGGGAUAACGUAGGGAAACUUACGCUAAUACCGCAUACGACCUACGGGUGAAAGCAGGGGAUCUUCGGACCUUGCGCGAUUGAAUGAGCCGAUGUCGGGUUAGCUAGUUGGCGGGGUAAAGGCCCACCAAGGCGACGAUCCGUAGCUGGUCUGAGAGGAUGAUCAGCCACACUGGAACUGAGACACGGUCCAGACUCCUACGGGAGGCAGCAGUGGGGAAUAUUGGACAAUGGGCGCAAGCCUGAUCCAGCCAUACCGCGUGGGUGAAGAAGGCCUUCGGGUUGUAAAGCCCUUUUGUUGGGAAAGAAAUCCAGCUGGUUAAUACCCGGUUGGGAUGACGGUACCCAAAGAAUAAGCACCGGCUAACUUCGUGCCAGCCGCCGCGGUAAGAC
rnacentral:rRNA from 1 species